GAUGAACGCUGGCGGCGUGCCUAAUACAUGCAAGUCGAGCGAACGGACGAGAAGCUUGCUUCUCUGAUGUUAGCGGCGGACGGGUGAGUGACACGUGGAUAACCUACCUAUAAGACUGGGAUAACUUCGGGAAACCGGAGCUAAUACCGGAUAAUAUUUUGAACCGCAUGGUUCAAAAGUGAAAGACGGUCUUGCUGUCACUUAUAGAUGGAUUCGCGCUGCAUUAGCUAGUUGGUAAGGUAACGGCUUACCAAGGCAACGAUGCAUAGCCGACCUGAGAGGGUGAUCGGCCACACUGGAACUGAGACACGGUCCAGACUCCUACGGGAGGCAGCAGUAGGGAAUCUUCCGCAAUGGGCGAAAGCCUGACGGAGCAACGCCGCGUGAGUGAUGAAGGUCUUCGGAUCGUAAAACUCUGUUAUUAGGGAAGAACAUAUGUGUAAGUAACUGUGCACAUCUUGACGGUACCUAAUCAGAAAGCCACGGCUAACUACGUG
rnacentral:rRNA from 1 species